UACAGAGGUCUCAAGCGUUGUUCGGAUUCAUUGGGCGUAAAGGGUGCGUAGGCGGUCUGCUAAGUUUGGUGUGAAAUCCCGGGGCUCAACCCUGGAAUGGCAUUGAAUACUGGCGGACUAGAGUACCGGAGAGGAAACUGGAAUUUACGGUGUAGCAGUGAAAUGCGUAGAGAUCGUAAGGAAGACCAGUGGCGAAGGCGAGUUUCUGGACGGUAACUGACGCUGAGGCACGAAGGCCAGGGGAGCAAACGGG
rnacentral:rRNA from 1 species